UGGUUGGAUGAAUUUGGUGUGGAAAAACUUGAUUGGCCUGCACAGAGCCCUGACCUCAACCCCAUCCAACACCUUUGGGAUGAACUGGAACAGAUAUUGUGAGCUAGACCUUCUUGGUCCAACAUCAGUGUCUGACCUCACAAAUGCUAAACUGCAUCAAUGGGCAAAAAUUCCCAAAUAAACGCUCUAAAAUCUUGUGGAAAGCCUUCCCAGAAGAAUGAAAGCCGUUAAAGCUGCAAUUUAGAAUGCAAUGUCAUUAAAGCCCAUGUUGGUGCAGUGGUAAGAUGUCCCAAUAUUUUUGUCCAUAUUGUGUAUCAUCAUUGCAUGUUUAACUAUUAAAGUGCAUGUAUAAAAAUGCAUCAUAGCAAUAAUGUAUUUGUUAAUUGUUUUGUAUUAGUAAUCUGAAGUUGAAAAGUCAAAAUAAGUGGAAAAAAUGGUACUUAAGUGCAGUACUUGAGUAAGUGUUUAUUUCUGGUUAAAUACAAAAUCUGGAUGAUAGCUGAAGUAAAUGCCAACUCCUGUUUAAUUUCAUACUUGAGGUACUCCAUGUUCUCCCCAGCGACCUGUUUUCCACCCCGAUGGCCUCCACAGUUCAUUCCCUGGUCACGAUAAAUAUCUGCUGAUGAGUCUGUGCUAAAAAUCCGUCACGCCUACACAAAGACUGGUGGUCAGACAAAUCUGGAGUCUCAGUGACCAGACAGAUAGCAUCUUUCACAGCCUGACAAUCAGCGCAUUUUGUGGGAUAAGACGACUUAAGGAAGUGGAUCCUGUGAGUUCCCUGCUGGAUCGGUUCCCGGGAGUCUCGCCUACAUGCGGGCCUGCGCGUUCAGCCACAUGGUCUUUUGGUUGCUUUGUACCAUCCACAACCUGGCUGGAGUCAGUCCAGAGAUGCUGUGUGUGUGCUCUCUGCUCUUUUUGGCCGAACGCAGUGACAGACCAGGAACCAGGACCAGCUCCAGACAAGGAGAGAGCGAAGCUGUGGUCUCCCCCGGCGGUUAUCUUUGCCAAAGGAAUUCCUGCCAAAGACUUGAGGGGAUGAGGGAACAGCUUGCUUGGCUCUCCUUUCCCGAGACCGAGCUGACCGCUGGUGUUCUGGCCCCACGUGAACAGCUGGCCAUCUGAAAGGAAGAGAACAGAGAGACAAAAGCAGUUAACGCACAACAUGUUGGUGAGGGCGGAGGAGACGACCACCAAUCUGAAGUGGCAGCGAGAGGGUGACGGCCCAGGAAGCCAAAGAUGUUCAGGCUUGAGGGCAGCCCCGCUUUCUCCUCUUCAAGGAACUUCCAACCCUGGA